GCAGAUUUUCUGGCCGGGGUCACUUAGACUUCGUGAAGGAAGAGAAAUAAAAGGGAUUGGGGAGUGUCUUUGCUUUAAAAAAAAAAAUAAGACGGCUGCAUUAUUUAAUUCCAGCUUCUGUCCCCAUGGAGCAUGAUUUUAUUAAGUGCCACUGGAUUAGUAUACAGGUGAGUACACAGGUGUGUGAGCAAAUAUGUGGUUGGGAGACAGUGGACUGAGGGGCCCAAUCUGGGCUUGGAAUGGGCGGGGAGUGGUCGGGAGGUUCAGCUACAGAGAUUCAGUUGCUUUUCCUUAAAAACGCCAAACCCAGUUUUCUGUGGCCACAGAGAAGACGGGAUAUCCUGCAGAAAGAAGCUGCCACUGCAGUGGCUGCCUCCAGCCGAGCGCUCUCCUCCUGGGCCAGGAGCUGCGAGCCUUGUAGACAGAUCCAUUCUAGUUCCUGCUCCUGGUCUCCUCGGCCCUCCGCAGAGGUGAUGAUGAGCCCUGGAAAGCCACCAGUCAGCCCCGAGGGAGAGGGAGGUCAGGCUGAGUCACCAGUCUGGGAAUCCUCCCUGUGGAGCUGUCAGGACCAUGGACGUGGAUGGGAUGCUCCACCCAAGGCUGCUCCGAAGAGGGGGUGGUGGUGGGCCUGAUGCCUGCAGGGUAUGGGUCACAUGGAGAAGUCCUGAAAAAUGUGUCUCCAGCUGGCCUGUCUGUCCCCUUUCUUUUAACCAGUAAAGCCUUGCCUUAACUGAGUGUUGCUUCAUUUUAUUUGACCACCUUGGCCCUUCCUUCUGCAGUCUCCUCUCACUCAGGCAACCCCAGGGGUGGAAGGCCCUCACCUGGUGCCCAGUGG
rnacentral:lncRNA from 1 species